rnacentral:rRNA from 1 species
UACAGAGGGUGCAAACGUUGCUCGGAAUCAUUGGGCGUAAAGCGCACGUAGGCGGCCUAGCAAGUAGGGAGUGAAAGCCCUCGGCUUAACCGAGGAAGUGCUUUCUAAACUACUAGGCUUGAAUCCGGGAGAGGGAUGCGGAAUUCCAGGUGUAGCGGUGAGAUGCGUAGAUAUCUGGAGGAACACCGGUGGCGAAGGCGGCAUCCUGGACCGGUAUUGACGCUGAGGAGCGAAAGCCAGGGGAGCAAACGGG